CUGCAGAGUUGAAGAUAUGCACAAAGCAAGGAAGGAGGUGUUUGUUGCAGCAGAUUCUGCAGAGUUAAUACAGGGAUUUUCAGGCUAAAAAUCUGGAGGUUGCACAAGUUGGUGGUGGAGUAACUCUCCAAUGCAAGGACAGACUGAGAGAGAAAAUGGAGAACUGCUCUAUUUACAAAGAACUGUUGAAGACACAAAGUGUGGACCUCUGGCCCUAUGGAAAAGAGGAUGGUGUGGGUUGCAGCAGGUGUUCCAGGAUGGAGCACACGGCAAAGUGGCAGCAAGUGCUUGCUUGACUCUGUUAGGAAAUCCUACUUCUGUGAUGGUCAGUAAUACCAAACAGUUGUGAUCGAUACAUCCAGGGAUAUCAGGCAGUUAUUUUCUGUGGUUUUAUUUGCAGCUCUGA